rnacentral:lncRNA from 1 species
GCCUAAUCAAUCGCACUGAUAAUUCAGUAUUCCAAUCUCCGGCCGGCACGGCACUACGAGCACACACCUUCCACCCUUGUCCUUUUAGAUAUAUCCAAGCUAGCCUACUAUCAUUUUUACAAAAACCGGGUCAGCUUUGUGAUUAGCGUCCAAUAGAGCAGAGACAUGGAAUCGUCGCCGAAGCCUGUCGGAACGAUGGGACGACGAUUCCCUGUCAAAUGUCCAAACAGCAGGAGGCCAGGAGUCAACACGUUUGGUGAACGAAUUGCCCGCUCGCGAUCAACCCAGCGAUCGGUCGAGACCUCCAGGUGACGGCCGUCCGUGCGUUGGUUUCACCGUGUCCGUGUACUUGCGAGAGAAGCAGAUCGUGGCCAGGUAGGUCAGGUCUCGUGGUCCGAUUGCGCUUCGCGACCGGCGAUCUUGGCUGAAACCAUCUGCGUGGAGCCUGUUGCCUUCAGCGUGCGUCCUGCACGUACUCGGCCUAGUCCGGCGAUGUACGCCAUCUGUAGCGUGCGAUCAACUCUUCUCUGCCAUGUCUCGUGAACACUGAAACAUUUUACAGUAUGUUAGCUGCAUGCGUGUAAGCAUACGAGGAAAUCGAGAGAUUGAAGAAGAAACACGGGCUAACACAAGGGCUACAUUGUGUGUUGGCCAUCGGUUGGUUGGUCGGCUCUUUUUUCUUUAACCAA